AGCGAACGCUGGCGGCGUGCUUAACACAUGCAAGUCGAACGGUAAGGCCCUUCGGGGUACACGAGUGGCGAACGGGUGAGUAACACGUGGGUGAUCUGCCCUGCACUUCGGGAUAAGCCUGGGAAACUGGGUCUAAUACCGGAUAGGACCACUGCCUGCAUGGGUGGUGGUGGAAAGCUUUUGCGGUGUGGGGUGGGCCCGCGGCCUAUCAGCUUGUUGGUGGGGUGAUGGCCUACCAAGGCGACGACGGGUAGCCGGCCUGGGAGGGUGAACGGCCACACUGGGACUGAGAUACGGCCCAGACUCCUACGGGAGGCAGCAGUGGGGAAGAUUGCACAAUGGGCGCAAGCCUGAUGCAGCGACGCCGCGUGAGGGAUGACGGCCUUCGGGUUGUAACCUCUUUCAGCACCGACGAAGCGCAAGUGACGGUAGGUGCAGAAGAAGGACCGGCCAACUACGUGCCAGCCGCCGCAGUAA
rnacentral:rRNA from 1 species